ACGGCGUGAUGCGGAUAUUUCCUAAUCAAUUCUUUUAAUCUCUCCCAUGUUUCAUGGAACAUCUCACCAUCCAUCCGGAAAAAAACUUAUGAUGGCUUUUCUAAUUU